AGAACGAACGCUGGCGGCAGGCUUAACACAUGCAAGUCGAGCGCCCCGCAAGGGGAGCGGCAGACGGGUGAGUAACGCGUGGGAACGUACCCCCCGGUUCGGAAUAACUCAGGGAAACUUGAGCUAAUACCGGAUACGGCUGGAAGGCGAAAGAUUCAUCGCCGGGGGAUCGGCCCGCGUCCGAUUAGCUAGUUGGUGUGGUAACGGCGCACCAAGGCGACGAUCGGUAGCUGGUCUGAGAGGAUGAUCAGCCACAUUGGGACUGAGACACGGCCCAAACUCCUACGGGAGGCAGCAGUGGGGAAUAUUGGACAAUGGCGCAAGCCUGAUCCAGCCAUGCCGCGUGAGUGAUGAAGGCCUUAGGGUUGUAAAGCUCUUUCACCCACGACGAUAAUGACGGUAGUGGGAGAAGAAGCCCCGGCUAACUUCGUGCCAGCAGCCGC
rnacentral:rRNA from 1 species